rnacentral:rRNA from 1 species
GACGAACGCUGGCGGCGUGCCUAAUACAUGCAAGUUGAGCGCUGAAGGUUGGUACUUGUACCAACUGGAUGAGCAGCGAACGGGUGAGUAACGCGUGGGGAAUCUGCCUUUGAGCGGGGGACAACAUUUGGAAACGAAUGCUAAUACCGCAUAAAAACUUUAAACACAAGUUUUAAGUUUUAAAGAUGCAAUUGCAUCACUCAAAGAUGAUCCCGCGUUGUAUUAGCUAGUUGGUGAGGUAAAGGCUCACCAAGGCGAUGAUACAUAGCCGACCUGAGAGGGUGAUCGGCCACAUUGGGACUGAGACACGGCCCAAACUCCUACGGGAGGCAGCAGUAGGGAAUCUUCGGCAAUGGACGAAAGUCUGAACGAGCAACGCCGCGUGAGAGAAGAAGGUUUUCGGAUCGUAAAACUCUGUUGGUAGAGAAGAAAGUUGGUGAGAGUGGAAAGCUCAUCAAGUGACGGUAACUACACAGAAAGGGACGGCUAACUACGUG